CCGCGUGGGACUCGGCUCCGGGUCUCCUCUCUUCCCGCCGCCAGCCCUGGCGCUCCGCCGUCUGUCCCCAGGGCCUCUCACCCGGCUCCCGGAUAACCCAGGUGUCCAGACCUCCGCCCCCAGCUCGCCAACCCAGGGCGGCGGCCCAUGACUCAGGCCCCUCGAGGGACUUGGGGAGGAAGCGGCAGCUGCUCCGAGCCGGGCCCGCCCUUCCCAUCUCCUGCCACUCCUCCCCACGCGUUUGCCUUCCCGGGCCAGCCUUUGUUACCCUGGGGGCCGGGGCGGCCGCCGGGCUGCGGGGGACCCGUAGGGACGGGGCGUCAGCAGGAGCGGCGCUCGGAAGCCAACGGUUUUGGAAGCUAGCUCCCUUACUGGAGCCGCUGCCCCACUCUUCCGCUUCAACCUGUCUGCCGUGGGUCCCCAGGGAAGUGCUUUUGAAGAAAGGAUAGGACUGAAGAGGAGUUAACAAGGGAAUCUCAAGCAGGACAACAUGAACAAAAUUGCAACGGCCUCCUUCAGAGCUGGGGAAGAGGAUUCAUGCUGGUCAGUCACGAAAGGCAUGGCUGGAGUGCCCUUCUUGUUUCGGUUCUCCAAAUGCUCCCUCUUUAUAACACUCUCCAUAGUCCUCUUUACGAAGCCUUUCCUUAGAAUACUCUGCUCAUCGCCCUUUCUCCCCCCUCAGUCCUCACUCUCCCGCCUCUCCAAACCGCUAAUCCCUGAGUACCUAAUUUAGCCCUCUGGUCUCGCCUGCAGCGUCUCGGCGGCUUUCAUGGUUCUAGUUCCCUCUCCUGGACUUCCCCUGUCAUUUGUCUCCAAGCCCCGCCCCCGCUCCCUCUGCUCCGGCUCCACCUCCCUACCCCAGAGCUCAUCCUCGCUCCCUCCCGCUCACCCAGACCACCAGACUCCGAGAUUCCUCCAAGAAGUGGCCGAAGGGAGGUAAAGCGCACGAACUCCACUCCAGUGCCAAAGGCCAGGAUGAAAGAGGCGAGCGCAGCAGGGACGAGUAGCAGUGCAGGGGCCAUGGCGAGAAAUGGAGGGGUGGGGAAAGGGGCGGGUUUGGGAUUCCCGCGGCCGUAGGCUCCGCCCCGACCCCGCCUCCCGCCUGGGACCCUGCCCAGGAGGGCGGGGCUCCCGCGCGCCGACGCCCAGGCUUCCGGCUGGCGCGCGCGGCUCUUUCACACCGAGCUGCAGGGCCGAUCCCUGAGUGCCUUUCCCCGGUCUGCGAUCUCCGCGUCACAGAAGGGAAUGUUAGAAUCCCAAGUGAGAGGAUGAGUAAGAAUCCCAGUAAGAAAAGAAGAAGAGAAACAAAUGGUUUCCAAACAGGAGGCAGGACACUGUGCAUGCCAUAGAGCAAUAAGCACAUCAGUCCAGCUAAAUAUGAGCAGCAACUUAAGAUAUCUGAG